UACGGAGGGUGCGAGCGUUCUCCGGAAUUAUUGGGCGUAAAGGGCUCGUAGGCGGUUUGUCGCGUCGGGAGUGAAAACCCAGGGCUUAACCCUGGGCUGGCUUCCGAUACGGGCAGACUAGAGGUAUGCAGGGGAGAACGGAAUUCCUGGUGUAGCGGUGAAAUGCGCAGAUAUCAGGAGGAACACCGGUGGCGAAGGCGGUUCUCUGGGCAUUACCUGACGCUGAGGAGCGAAAGUGUGGGGAGCGAACAGG
rnacentral:rRNA from 1 species